rnacentral:rRNA from 1 species
CGUGUAGGUGGCUGUCCAAGUCUGGUGUGAAAGCCCACGGCUCAACCGUGGAACUGCAUUGGAAACUGGAGAGCUCGAGUAUUGGAGGGGGUCGCGGAAUUCCCGGUGUAGAGGUGAAAUUCGUAGAUAUCGGGAGGAACACCAGUGGCGAAGGCGGCGACCUGGCCAAUUACUGACACUGAGACGCGAAAGCGUGGGGAGCAAACAGGAUUAGAUACCCUGGUAGUCCACGCCGUAAACGAUGGGUGCUAGCCAUAUCGGGUGUUGACCCUUAGGUGUGGCGAAGCCAACGCGUUAAGCACCCCGCCUGGGGAGUACGGUCGCAAGAUUAAA